rnacentral:tRNA from 1 species
GCGCUCGUAGCUCAGUAGGAUAGAGCAUCGGUUUCCUAAACCGAAGGUCGCAGGUUCUAACCCUGCCGGGCGUG